CAAAUACUCCCUCCGUCCAAAAAUUCUUGUCUUAGAUUUGUCUAGAUACGGAUGUAUCAAGUCACAUUUUAGUAUUAGAUACAUCCGGAUCUAGACAAAUCUAAGACAAGAAAUUUGGGACAGAGGGAGUAUAUG
rfam:Triticum urartu cultivar G1812 contig911064, whole genome shotgun sequence.